UACGUAGGGUGCGAGCGUUAAUCGGAAUUACUGGGCGUAAAGCGUGCGCAGGCGGUUUUGUAAGCCAGAUGUGAAAUCCCCGGGCUUAACCUGGGAACUGCAUUUGUGACUGCAUAGCUAGAGUACGGUAGAGGGGGAUGGAAUUCCGCGUGUAGCAGUGAAAUGCGUAGAGAUGCGGAGGAACACCGAUGGCGAAGGCAGCCCCCUGGGCUAGCACUGACGCUCAGGCACGAAAGCGUGGGGAGCAAACAGG
rnacentral:rRNA from 1 species